rnacentral:lncRNA from 1 species
AAUUAAUAAGCUGAACUGUUUUUACGUUUUUCAAUUUUUAUUUUGCUUUUAUUUUUUCAAAAAAAAUUAUAUAACAAAUGCCAUGUGUCAAAUUUUUAUUGGCCAAGUGACUUGUGCUUUAGUAUAUAAAGGAUGUUUAGUUGUGGUUGUAGAUGUUUUAGAAAAUUAAAAUUUAAUUUAAAAUUAUAUAUAUCAAUUAAUCAAGCUUUCUUUGUUUAAAAAAACUUACAACAAAAUUAUUUUCAUGAAAAUUAAAAAUGAAUCGAGAACUUUAUUUUCAAAGCAAAAAAAAAAAAAUGCUUUAGAAAGCUACAGCAAAAAAAAAGUGCAAAAAAAGUGCAAAAAAAAAACUACAUCAAUAAAAACUACAGUAAAUAAAUGUACAAAUUAAAGUUUACAUCAAAAAAUAUAAAGCUACGACCCUUACCAAUCGUUUUCAUACUCUAUCUGUUUUACAAUACAUGAUGUUUUGACUCAUUGCACAAAGAUUAAGAAGUUUAUUUUUUUCCAAAAAAUAACUUCACAAAUAUAAUUUAAAAAUCAUUCAACCAAUUAUAAAAUAACUGCAAAAUCUAACUGGUUACACAAUUUUCAGUAAAUUUAAAAAUAAUAUAAAUAUAUCAAAACUUCAUCUAUUUUGAAACAACAAAUAUUUUGUAAAACAU